CACUGUGGCGAUUUGUAACCAGAUUGCGGGCCACACAAAAAAACCGCUAAAAGGUCAGGAUGAAA
rnacentral:ncRNA from 1 species